GCAUAUCAAUAAGCGGAGGAAAAGAAACCAACCGGGAUUACCUCAGUAACGGCGAGUGAAGCGGUAACAGCUCAAAUUUGAAAUCUGGCUCUUGCGGAGUCCGAGUUGUAAUUUGUAGAGGAUGCUUUGGGUUGUGGGUUCGGCCUAAGUUCCUUGGAACAGGACGUCAUAGAGGGUGAGAAUCCCGUAUGCGGUCGGAAAGGUGCUCUAUACGUAGCUCCUUCGACGAGUCGAGUUGUUUGGGAAUGCAGCUCUAAAUGGGAGGUAAAUUUCUUCUAAAGCUAAAUAUUGGCCAGAGACCGAUAGCGCACAAGUAGAGUGAUCGAAAGAUGAAAAGCACUUUGGAAAGAGAGUUAAACAGUACGUGAAAUUGUUGAAAGGGAAGCGCUUGCAACCAGACUUGGGCGCUGCCGAUCACCUUGAGUUUUCUCGAGUGCACUCGACAGCGCACAGGCCAGCAUCGGUUCGGGUGGCUGGAUAAAGGCCGUAGGAAUGUGGCUCUCUUCGGGGAGUGUUAUAGCCUACGGUGCCAUGCAGCCCAGCCGGACCGAGGACCGCGCCUUCGGGCUAGGAUGCUGGCGUAAUGGUUGUAAGCGACCCGUCUUGAAACACGGACC
rnacentral:rRNA from 1 species